rnacentral:misc_RNA from 1 species
ACUGCGGAAGGAUCAUUAACGAGGUAGGGCCUCCUUCGGGAGCCCGAACUCCCCACCCUUUGCUGUUGCGAACAAGUUGCUUCGGCGGGACCCCCCUCCCUUCAAACCGGGGGGGGACCGGGCCUCUGCGCCCGGGCAGCGCCCGCCGGGGGACACAACCAACUCUUUUGUUAAAACAAUGCAGUCGGAGUACAAUCGUACAAUAAGUUAAAACUUUCAACAACGGAUCUCUUGGUUCUGGCAUCGAUGAAGAACGCAGCGAAAUGCGAUAAGUAAUGUGAAUUGCAGAAUUCAGUGAAUCAUCGAAUCUUUGAACGCACAUUGCGCCCCUUGGUAUUCCGAGGGGCAUGCCUGUUCGAGCGUCAUUUCACCAAUCAAGCCCCGCUUGGUAUUAGGCGUCUAGGCCGGACCCCCGUGUCCGGCCCGCCCGAAAUGCAUCGGCGAGGCACCGACCCCCGGCGUGUUAGAAUUUCGAAACGUCAGGAGCACCGGUAACCCUCCGCCGUCAAACCUUUAUAUUUUCUCAAGGUUGACCUCG